rnacentral:rRNA from 1 species
AACGAACGCUGGCGGCAGGCUUAACACAUGCAAGUCGAGCGCAUCCUUCGGGGUGAGCGGCGGACGGGUGAGUAACGCGUGGGAACGUGCCCUCUUCUGCGGAAUAGCCUCGGGAAACUGAGAGUAAUGCCGUAUACGCCCGCAAGGGGAAAGAUUUAUCGGAGGAGGAUCGGCCCGCGUUGGAUUAGGUAGUUGGUGGGGUAACGGCCUACCAAGCCGACGAUCCAUAGCUGGUUUGAGAGGAUGAUCAGCCACACUGGGACUGAGACACGGCCCAGACUCCUACGGGAGGCAGCAGUGGGGAAUCUUGGACAAUGGGGGCAACCCUGAUCCAGCCAUGCCGCGUGAUCGAUGAAGGCCUUAGGGUUGUAAAGAUCUUUCAGCUGGGAAGAUAAUGACGGUACCAGCAGAAGAAGCCCCGGCUAACUCCGUG